CCUGGCUCACGAUGAACGCUAGCUACAGGCUUAACACAUGCAAGUCGAGGGGCAGCAUGGUCUUAGCUUGCUAAGACUGAUGGCGACCGGCGCACGGGUGAGUAACACGUAUCCAACCUGCCGUCUACUCUUGGACAGCCUUCUGAAAGGAAGAUUAAUACAAGAUGGCAUCAUGAGUCCGCAUGUUCACAUGAUUAAAGGUAUUCCGGUAGACGAUGGGGAUGCGUUCCAUUAGAUAGUAGGCGGGGUAACGGCCCACCUAGUCUUCGAUGGAUAGGGGUUCUGAGAGGAAGGUCCCCCACAUUGGAACUGAGACACGGUCCAAACUCCUACGGGAGGCAGCAGUGAGGAAUAUUGGUCAAUGGGCGAGAGCCUGAACCAGCCAAGUAGCGUGAAGGAUGACUGCCCUAUGGGUUGUAAACUUCUUUUAUAAAGGAAUAAAGUCGGGUAUGGAUACCCGUUUGCAUGUACUUUAUGAAUAAGGAUCGGCUAACUCCGUGCCAGCAGCCGCGGUAAUACGGAGGAUCCGAGCGUUAUCCGGAUUUAUUGGGUUUAAAGGGAGCGUAGAUGGAUGUUUAAGUCAGUUGUGAAAGUUUGCGGCUCAACCGUAAAAUUGCAGUUGAUACUGGAUAUCUUGAGUGCAGUUGAGGCAGGCGGAAUUCGUGGUGUAGCGGUGAAAUGCUUAGAUAUCACGAAGAACUCCGAUUGCGAAGGCAGCCUGCUAAGCUGCAACUGACAUUGAGGCUCGAAAGUGUGGGUAUCAAACAGGAUUAGAUACCCUGGUAGUCCACACGGUAAACGAUGAAUACUCGCUGUUUGCGAUAUACUGCAAGCGGCCAAGCGAAAGCGUUAAGUAUUCCACCUGGGGAGUACGCCGGCAACGGUGAAACUCAAAGGAAUUGACGGGGGCCCGCACAAGCGGAGGAACAUGUGGUUUAAUUCGAUGAUACGCGAGGAACCUUACCCGGGCUUAAAUUGCAGAUGAAUUACGGUGAAAGCCGUAAGCCGCAAGGCAUCUGUGAAGGUGCUGCAUGGUUGUCGUCAGCUCGUGCCGUGAGGUGUCGGCUUAAGUGCCAUAACGAGCGCAACCCUUGUUGUCAGUUACUAACAGGUUCCGCUGAGGACUCUGACAAGACUGCCAUCGUAAGAUGUGAGGAAGGUGGGGAUGACGUCAAAUCAGCACGGCCCUUACGUCCGGGGCUACACACGUGUUACAAUGGGGGGUACAGAGGGCCGCUACCACGCGAGUGGAUGCCAAUCCCCAAAACCUCUCUCAGUUCGGACUGGAGUCUGCAACCCGACUCCACGAAGCUGGAUUCGCUAGUAAUCGCGCAUCAGCCACGGCGCGGUGAAUACGUUCCCGGGCCUUGUACACACCGCCC
rnacentral:rRNA from 1 species